rnacentral:rRNA from 1 species
UACGUAGGGUGCAAGCGUUGUCCGGAAUUAUUGGGCGUAAAGAGCUCGUAGGCGGUUUGUCGCGUUCUGCUGUGAAAAACUCGGGGCUUAACUCCGGGCCUGCAGUGGGUACGGGCAGACUAGAGUGCGGUAGGGGAGACUGGAAUUCCUGGUGUAGCGGUGAAAUGCGUAGAUAUCAAGAGGAACACCAGUGGCGAAGGCGAGUCCCUGGACAAUACCUGACACUGAGGCACGAAAGCCAAGGGAGCAAACAGG